rnacentral:rRNA from 1 species
ACGCUGGCGGCGUGCCUAACACAUGCAAGUCGAACGGGGUUAGGGGGGUUCGCCCCCCUGACUCAGUGGCGGACGGGUGAGUAACGCGUGAACAAUCUGCCUUUUGCUGGGGGAUAACUGCUAGAAAUAGCAGCUAAUACCGCAUAUGACCACAGCACCGCAUGGUGCCGGGGUGAAAGAGUUUGUAUCGGCAAAAGAUGAGUUUGCGUCCCAUUAGUUAGUUGGUGAGGUAACGGCCCACCAAGACUGCGAUGGGUAACCGACCUGAGAGGGUAAUCGGUCACACUGGAACUGAGAUACGGACCAGACUCCUACGGGAGGCAGCAGUGGGGAAUAUUGGGCAAUGGAGGCAACUCUGACCCAGCAACGCCGCGUGAAGGAUGAAGGUCUUCGGAUUGUAAACUUCUGUUGUAAGGGAAGAAAAAAAUGACGGUACCUUACUAGAAAGCACCGGCAAACUAUGUGCCAGCAGCCGCGGUAAUACAUAGGGUGCAAGCGUUAUCCGGAAUCACUGGGCGUAAAGAGAGCGUAGGCGGUUUGUUAAGUUGAGUGUGAAAUCCUUGGGCUUAACUCAAGAAUUGCACUUGAUACUGGCAAACUAGAGUGUUGGAGAGGUAAGUGGAAUUCCUAGUGUAGCGGUAAAAUGCGUAGAUAUUAGGAAGAACAUCGGAGGCGAAGGCGGCUUACUGGACAACAACUGACGCUGAGGUUCGAAAGCGUGGGGAUCAAACAGGAUUAGAUACCCUGGUAGUCCACGCCCUAAACGAUGGAUACUAAAUGUGGGACAGUCAACUGUUCCGUAUUGAAGCAAACGCGAUAAGUAUCCCGCCUGGGUAGUACGUUCGCAAGAAUGAAACUCAAAGGAAUUGACGGGACCCCGCACAAGCAGCGGAGCAUGUGGUUUAAUUCGUCGCAACGCGAAGAACCUUACCAAGGUUUGACAUGUUAGUGCAUAGUAUAGAAAUGUAUGAAUUUGCAGUUUACUGCAACACUUUCACAGAUGGUGCAUGGUUGUCGUCAGCUCGUGUCGUGAGAUGUUGGGUUAAGUCCCGCAACGAGCGCAACCCCUGUAUUUAGUUGCCAGCAUUUAGUUGGGCACUCUAAAUAGACUGCCAUAGAUAAUAUGGAGGAAGAUGGGGAUGACGUCAAAUCAUCAUGCCUCUUACACCUUGGGCUACACACGCGCUACAAUGGGCGAAACAAAGAGAUGCAAGAUAGUAAUAUGGAGCAAAACUCAUAAAAUCGCCCCCAAUUCAGAUUGUGGGCUGCAACCCGCCCACAUGAAGUCGGAGUUGCUAGUAAUCGCGGAUCAGCACGCCGCGGUGAAUGCGUUCUCGGGGUUUGUACACACCGCCCGUCAAGGCAUGGGAGUUGGGGGGACCCGAAGUCGGUGAGUUAACCUGCGCAAGCAGGAGGCAACCGCCUAAGGUAAAACCAAUGACUGGG